UACGUAGGGGGCAAGCGUUGUCCGGAAUCAUUGGGCGUAAAGAGCGUGUAGGCGGCCCGAUAAGUCCGCUGUGAAAGUCCAGGGCUCAACCCUGGAAUGCCGGUGGAUACUGUCGGGCUCGAGUCCGGAAGAGGCGAGUGGAAUUCCUGGUGUAGCGGUGAAAUGCGCAGAUAUCAGGAGGAACACCGAUGGCGAAGGCAGCUCGCUGGGACGGUACUGACGCUGAGACGCGAAAGCGCGGGGAGCAAACAGG
rnacentral:rRNA from 1 species